rnacentral:rRNA from 1 species
UACGUAGGGGGCAAGCGUUGUCCGGAAUUACUGGGCGUAAAGCGUGCGCGAGCGCUUUGCAAGACAGAUGUGAAAUCCCCGGGCUUAACCUGGGAACUGCAUUUGUGACUGCAUGGCUGGAGUGCGGCAGAGGGGGAUGGAAUUCCGCGUGUAGCGGUGAAAUGCGCAGAUAUCAGGAGGAACACCGGUGGCGAAGGCGGUUCUCUGGUCGUACCUGACGCUGAGGCGCGAAAGCGUGGGGAGCGAACGGG